UACGGGGGGAGCAAGCGUUGUUCGGAUUUACUGGGCGUAAAGGGCGCGUAGGCGGCCACUGCAAGUCAGUUGUGAAAUCUCCGGGCUUAACCCGGAAGGUCAACUGAUACUGCAGGGCUAGAGUGCAGAAGGGGCAACUGGAAUUCUCGGUGUAGCGGUGAAAUGCGUAGAUAUCAAGAGGAACACCUGAGGUGAAGACGGGUUGCUGGGCUGACACUGACGCUGAGGCGCGAAAGCGUGGGGAGCGAACAGG
rnacentral:rRNA from 1 species